GCAGCGACACUAUGUGUUGUUGGGUAGGGGAGCGUUCUGUAAGCCUGCGAAGGUGUGCUGUGAGGCAUGCUGGAGGUAUCAGAAGUGCGAAUGCUGACAUAAGUAACGAUAAAGCGGGUGAAAAGCCCGCUCGCCGGAAGACCAAGGGUUCCUGUCCAACGUUAAUCGGGGCAGGGUGAGUCGACCCCUAAGGCGAGGCCGAAAGGCGUAGUCGAUGGGAAACAGGUUAAUAUUCCUGUACUUGGUGUUACUGCGAAGGGGGGACGGAGAAGGCUAUGUUAGCCGGGCGACGGUUGUCCCGGUUUAAGCAUGUAGGCUGGUUGUCCAGGCAAAUCCGGAUAAUCAAGGCUGAGGUGUGAUGACGAGGCACUACGGUGCUGAAGUAACAAAUGCCCUGCUUCCAGGAAAAGCCUCUAAGCAUCAGGUAACAUCAAAUCGUACCCCAAACCGACACAGGUGGUCAGGUAGAGAAUACCAAGGCGCUUGAGAGAACUCGGGUGAAGGAACUAGGCAAAAUGGUGCCGUAACUUCGGGAGAAGGCACGCUGGUGUGUAGGUGAAGUCCCUGCGGAUGGAGCUGAGACCAGUCGAAGAUACCAGCUGGCUGCAACUGUUUAUUAAAAACAC
rnacentral:rRNA from 1 species